rnacentral:rRNA from 1 species
GACAGGGGAUGCAAGCGUUACUCGGAAUGACUGGGCGUAAAGCGUCUGCAGACGUUCCACCAAGUCUGGUGUAAAAGCACGAAGCCCAACUCCGUGUAUGUGCCGGAAACUAGUGGAAUUGAGUCACUCAGAGGCAUCUGGAGUGUCGUGUGUAGGGGUAAAAUCCGUAGAUCCACGAUGGAACGCCAAAAGCGAAGGCAGGAUGCUGGGAGUGUACUGACGUUCAGAGACGAAAGCGUGGGGAGCAAAGGGG